AGUGCAUGUGUGUUUUGGUAAAUAUUGACAUAAAGCAGUACACGUGUGUUUUGGUAAAUAUUGACACAAAGCAGUGCAUGUGUGUUUAUGCAGAAAGUGAGUCCAGUUUUGGGCGUAAACAGGAAGGCUAUGGUAGAAAGAGCGCAGCCUCUCUGCUAGUGAGGAGGCAGGAGGUUUUUGUCAGGGCAGACACAGAGUUUGUGUCACUGUGGUGGACUUUCGGCAGCGGCAGCAGACUGGAAGUUGGAACACCCACCCCUCCCGUGCUGACGGUGUUGCCCCCCUCCCGUGAGGAGGUGUCGGCGGGGCGCAGUGCUACGCUGGUGUGUGUGGCCAGGGGGGGCUACCCCUCAGACUGGAGGCUGAGCUGGAGGCUGGAUGGGGGGGUUGAGGGCGGGGAGGCCAGCGCUGGGCUCCUGGGGGAGGACGGCCUGUACAGCUGGAGCAGCAGCCUGACUCUCAGCGCCUCCCGCUGGCCCCAGAUCAGCUCAGCACACUGUGAGGCCAGCCACAGCUCCCAGAGGAGCGUCACACGCAUCCUGAGCAGAGAGCAGUGCUCAGACUAGACAGCAGUGGGACGGGAGUGGACUCUCUCUCCUCUCUACAGUCUCUGUGUCUCAUGUGGAGAUGGAGAGGGCGCUCUGGCUUCGUCUGCUCUCCAUCCCUCCAGUCUGCCUGAUGUGUUGGGUGAUGAGUGUGUUCAUGUUCAGCUAUGAUGCUGUCCUGUUAUUCUUCAUGCUGCACCAAUAAAGAGUCUUGUUGAUGAGG